rnacentral:rRNA from 1 species
UACGUAGGGGGCAAGCGUUGUCCGGAAUCAUUGGGCGUAAAGAGCGCGUAGGCGGUCCGGUAAGUCCGCUGUGAAAGUCGGGGGCUCAACCCUCGAAUGCCGGUGGAUACUGCCGGGCUAGAGUCCGGAAGAGGCGAGUGGAAUUCCUGGUGUAGCGGUGAAAUGCGCAGAUAUCAGGAGGAACACCGGUGGCGAAGGCGGUUUCCUGGCCGAGUACUGACGCUGAGGCACGAAAGCGUGGGGAGCGAACGGG